rnacentral:rRNA from 1 species
UACGUAGGGGGCUAGCGUUGUCCGGAAUCAUUGGGCGUAAAGCGCGUGUAGGCGGCCCGAUAAGUCCGCUGUGAAAGUCCAGGGCUCAACCCUGGGAUGCCGGUGGAUACUGUCGGGCUCGAGUCCGGAAGAGGCGAGUGGAAUUCCUGGUGUAGCGGUGAAAUGCGCAGAUAUCAGGAGGAACACCAGUGGCGAAAGCGGCUUCCUGGUCCAGCACCGACGUUCAGGCACGAAAGCGUGGGGAGCAAACAGG